UAUAGGUAAUCCAAGUGCAAUUCUUGGGCUGUGCCGCAACUGUAAAGCCAGAAAACUAUA
rnacentral:ncRNA from 26 species